rnacentral:rRNA from 1 species
UACGUAGGGGGCAAGCGUUAUCCGGAUUUAUUGGGUGUAAAGGGGGCGCAGACGGCAGCGCAAGCCAGGAGUGAAAGCCCGGGGCCCAACCCCGGGACUGCUCUUGGAACUGCGCGGCUGGAGUGCAGGAGGGGCAGGCGGAAUUCCUGGUGUAGCGGUGAAAUGCGUAGAUAUCAGGAGGAACACCGGUGGCGAAGGCGGCCUGCUGGACUGCGACUGACGUUGAGGCCCGAAAGCGUGGGGAGCAAACAGG